rnacentral:tRNA from 1 species
GUCACCAUCGUCCAAUGGUUAAGACGCCACGUUGUGGACAACUUGUCCGUGGCGAUCCAGGUUCGAUUCCUGGUAGUGACA